UCUGUGGUGGAUAGUGGAGUGUUUCCCAUGUGGUAUUGGUGUGCUGGAUAUCCCUUCACUGGUAGCCUGGUAACAUAUAGUCCCAGGUCCUUCUCUGCCUCUGUGGUGGAUAGUGGAGUGUUUCCCAUGUGGUAUUGGUGUGCUGGAUAUCCCUUCACUGGUAGCCUGGUAACAUAUAGUCCCAGGUCUUUCUCUGCCUCUGUGGUGGAUAGUGGAGUGUUUCCCAUAUGGUAUUGGUGUGCUGGAUAUCCCUUCACUGGUAGCCUGGUAACAUACACUCCCAGGUCUUUCUCUGCCUCUGUGGUGGAUAGUGGAGUGUUUCCCAUAUGAUAUUGGUGUGCUGGAUAUCCCUUCACUGGUAGCCUGGUAAACUUAUA